rnacentral:rRNA from 1 species
CUCCUACGGGAGGCAGCAGUGGGGAAUAUUGCACAAUGGGGGAAACCCUGAUGCAGCCAUGCCGCGUGUGUGAAGAAGGCCUUCGGGUUGUAAAGCACUUUCAGUAGGGAGGAAGGUAGUGUAGUUAACACCUGCAUUAUUUGACGUUACCUACAGAAGAAGCACCGGCUAACUCCGUGCCAGCAGCCGCGGUAAUACGGAGGGUGCGAGCGUUAAUCGGAAUUACUGGGCGUAAAGCGCAUGCAGGCGGCCUGUUAAGUCAGAUGUGAAAGCCCGGGGCUUAACCUCGGAAUUGCAUUUGAAACUGGCAGGCUAGAGUCUUGUAGAGGGGGUAGAAUUUCAGGUGUAGCGGUGAAAAUGCGUAGAGAUCUGAAGGAAUACCAGUGGCGAAGGCGGCCCCCUGGACAAAGACUGACGCUCAGAUGCGAAAGCGUGGGGAGCAAACAGGAUUAGAUACCCUGGUAG